rnacentral:rRNA from 1 species
GACGAACGCUGGCGGCGUGCCUAAUACAUGCAAGUCGAACGCAGUGGGGACGGGUGCGUAACACGUGGGUAACCUCCCAUCAGAGGGGAUAACACUUGGAAACAGGUGCUAAACCGAUACUGAUGGAUGGACCCGCGGUGCAUUCGCUAGUUGGGGGGGUAACGGCUCACCAAGGCCAAGAUGCAUAGCCGGCCUGAGAGGGUGAUCGGCCACACUGGGACUGAGACACGGCCCAGACUCCUACGGGAGGAAGCAGUAGGGAAUCGUGGGCAAUGGACGAAAGCCUGAUGGAGCAACGCCGCGUGAGUGAAGAAGGGUUUCGGGUCGUAAAACUAUGUGGUUAGAGAAGCGGUAUCUAACCAGAAAGCCACGGCUAACUACGUGCCAGCAGCCGCGGUAAUAC